CCAACUAUAUGCAAAUUAAGUGAGCUAGCUAGCAUUCUAGCCAGCCUGUUCUAGAGGUGCGUGUUUAGCUGCGGUUUGCUGCACAACAGACCUGCGUCUAGAGGGAAAACCGAAAUUGUAUUUCUGUGAAGCUGAGAUUCCUUAAGGCUACACAUCGGAAAUGGGAGAUCCUUCCCUAAGUCGAGACUGCCCAAUAGACUGUAAGGUUUAUGUGGGUAAUCUAGGCAACAGUGGGGAUAAGACUGAGCUGGAGAGGGCUUUUGGCUAUUAUGGCCCUUUGCGAAGUGUGUGGGUGGCUAGGAACCCUCCUGGUUUUGCGUUUGUGGAGUUCGAGGACCACAGAGAUGCUGCAGAUGCUGUCCGGGAGUUGGAUGGAAGGACCCUUUGUGGAUGUCGUGUGCGAGUUGAGAUGUCUAGUGGAGAGAAACGGUCAAGGAAUCGUGGACCGCCACCCUCUUGGGGUCGACGCCCGAGAGAUGACUACAGGCGCCGGGGCCCACCCCCUAGACGCAGAGACGUCAUGCCUCUCCUCAUCACUGAACUAGUCGAAUUUCAACACCAUGUGACCAGCGUACACCAAUCAGCUCACAUGACUCAAGCAUGGCCACCGGCCCAUUGUCUCCUGAGCAUGCCUGUUUAAGGCUCCUCCAGUUCCUUCAGCGUUAACCUGAUCAGCAAAACUACCCAAGCCACUUGUGCAACCAAUCAACGUCUCUUAUCCUUCCCUAAUGUCUUCAAAACUACCUACCCUCAGCCAUCCUCAGCUAACAUCUUCAGCCAUCUAUAGCAGUCAGCAAUGUUAACGUCUAGAAACCAUCUCCCCGCAAAUUCUGGCCUCCUGACCAACACUCAGCCUCUUUCCAUCAUAUCUAGCUUGUUGAAAACCAAACAAUAAUCACCCAGGAGGAGGAGUUUUAGCCGCAGUCGCAGCAGGUCUUUUUCCAGAGAAAGGAGAAGGGACAGGUCUCUGUCUCGAGAUAGAAAUCACAAACCUUCAAGAUCUUUCUCAAGAUCACAAAG